rnacentral:rRNA from 1 species
CAGCGGCGCACGGGUGAGUAACACGUAGGUAACCUACCUCUGAGACUGGGAUAACCUGUCGAAAGACGGGCUAAUACCAGAUAAGACCACCGAGGUUGCGGCUUCGGCGGUAAAAGAUGGCCUCUGCUCACUUGGAGAUGGGCCUGCGCGCCAUUAGCUAGUUGGGGGGGUAAAAGCCCACCAAGGCGGAGAUGGCUAGCUGGUCUGAGAGGAUGGCCAGCCACACUGGGACUGAGACACGGCCCAGACUCCUACGGGAGGCAGCAGUGGGGAAUAUUGCGCAAUGGGCGAAAGCCUGACGCAGCGACGCCGCGUGGGUGAUGAAGGCCUUCGGGUCGUAAAGCCCUGUCGGGGGGGACGAAACUUCCCGGUGCUAAUAUCACCGGGACCUGACGGUACCCCCUAAGGAAGCACCGGCUAACUCCGUGCCAGCAGCCGCGGUAAUACGGAGGGUGCAAGCGUUGUUCGGAAUCACUGGGCGUAAAGCGCGUGUAGGCGGCCUCUUAAGUCUGAUGUGAAAGCCCGGGGCUUACCCCCGGAAGUGCAUUGGAAACUGGGAGGCUAGAGUACCGGAGAGGAAGGUGGAAUUCCUGGUGUAGCGGUGAAAUGCGUAGAUAUCAGGAGGAACACCGGUGGCGAAGGCGGCCUUCUGGACGGAUAC